AUACGAAUGGUCCUAGCGUUGUUCGGAAUCACUGGGCUUAAAGCGCACGUAGGUGGAUUAUUAAGUGUCUUGUGAAAUCCCACGGCUCAACCGUGGAACUGCAGGGCAUACUGGUAAUCUUGAGGCAAGUAGGGGUACAUGGAACUCUGAGUGGAGCGGUGAAAUGCGUAGAUAUUCAGAGGAACGCCAGCGGUGAAAACGGUGUACUGGGCUUGUUCUGACACUGAGGUGCGAAAGCGUGGGUAGCAAACAGGAUUAGAUACCCUGGUAGUCCACGCCGUAAACGAUGCAUACUAGACUGUGGGAAAUCUGACUUUUUCGCAGUCGUAGCAAAAGUGUUAAGUAUGCCGCCUGGGGAGUACGGUCGCAAGGCUAAA
rnacentral:rRNA from 1 species